CAGCAGCCGCGGGAAAACGUAGGGGGCGAGCGUUGUCCGAAGUUACUGGGCGUAAAGCGCGCGUAGGCGGCUUCUUAAGUCUGAGGUGAAAGGUUCAACGCUUAACGUGAACAGUGCCUUGGAUACUGGGGAGCUUGAGUAUGGGAGAGGGCAGUGGAAUGGCUGGCGUAGCGGUGAAAUGCGUAGAUAUCAGUCGGAACACCCAUGGCGAAGGCAGCUGCCUGGCCUAAUACUGACGCUGAGGUGCGAAAGCGUGGGGAGCGAACGGGAUUAGAUACCCCAGUAGUCCCUGUCUCUUAUU
rnacentral:rRNA from 1 species